rnacentral:rRNA from 1 species
UGGGGAAUAUUGCGCAAUGGGGGAAACCCUGACCGAGCAACGCCGCGUGAGUGAAGAAGGUUUUCGGAUCGUAAAGCUCUGUUGUUAAGGAAGAACGAGUGUGAGAAUGGAAAGUUCAUACUGUGACGGUACUUAACCAGAAAGGGACGGCUAACUACGUGCCAGCAGCCGCGGUAAUACGUAGGUCCCGAGCGUUGUCCGGAUUUAUUGGGCGUAAAGCGAGCGCAGGCGGUUAGAUAAGUCUGAAGUUAAAGGCAGGGGCUCAACCAUUGUAGGCUUUGGAAACUGUUUAACUUGAGUGCAGAAGGGGAGAGUGGAAUUCCAUGUGUAGCGGUGAAAUGCGUAGAUAUAUGGAGGAACACCGGUGGCGAAAGCGGCUCUCUGGUCUGUAACUGACGCUGAGGCUCGAAAGCGUGGGGAGCGAACAGG